rnacentral:rRNA from 1 species
CCUACGGGGGGCUGCAGUAGGGAAUCUUGCUCAAUGGGGGAAACCCUGAAGCAGCAACGCCGCGUGGAGGAUGAAGGUUUUCGGAUUGUAAACUCCUUUUGUUAGAGAAGAUAAUGACGGUAUCUAACGAAUAAGCAACGGCUAACUCCGUGCCAGCAGCCGCGGUAAUACGGAGGGUGCAAGCGUUACGCGGAAUCACUGGGCGUAAAGAGCGCGUAGGCGGGAUAGCAAGUCAGAUGUGAAAUCCUAUGGCUUAACCAUAGAACUGCAUUUGAAACUGUUAUUCUAGAGUAUGGGAGAGGUAGGUGGAAUUCUUGGUGUAGGGGUAAAAUGCGUAGAGAUCAAGAGGAAUACUCAUUGCGAAGGCGACCUGCUAGAACAUAACUGACGCUGAUGCGCGAAAGCGUGGGGAGCAAACAGGAUUAGAUACCCGGGUAGUC